GGGGGCUCUGUUGGUUCUCUGUGCUCUGUGCUCUGUUUACCAGGUCAGGUCCGAAAGGAAGCAGCCAAGGCAGAGACGCAGAGCAGGCAGAUGUAGCUGGCAGGGCCCCCACCC
rnacentral:rRNA from 1 species